rnacentral:tRNA from 1 species
AGUCAUUUAGCUUAUAUUAAAGCAUAUAUUUUGAAAAUAUAAGAAAGACAUACAAUUUAAUGACUU